rnacentral:rRNA from 1 species
CGAACGGUAACAGGAAGCAGCUUGCUGCUUUGCUGACGAGUGGCGGACGGGUGAGUAAUGUCUGGGAAACUGCCUGAUGGAGGGGGAUAACUACUGGAAACGGUGGCUAAUACCGCAUAACGUCGCAAGACCAAAGAGGGGGACCUUCGGGCCUCUUGCCAUCAGAUGUGCCCAGAUGGGAUUAGCUUGUUGGUGAGGUAACGGCUCACCAAGGCGACGAUCCCUAGCUGGUCUGAGAGGAUGACCAGCCACACUGGAACUGAGACACGGUCCAGACUCCUACGGGAGGCAGCAGUGGGGAAUAUUGCACAAUGGGCGCAAGCCUGAUGCAGCCAUGCCGCGUGUAUGAAGAAGGCCUUCGGGUUGUAAAGUACUUUCAGCGGGGAGGAAGGUGUUGUGGUUAAUAACCACAGCAAUUGACGUUACCCGCAGAAGAAGCACCGGCUAACUCCGUGCCAGCAGCCGCGGUAAUACGGAGGGUGCAAGCGUUAAUCGGAAUUACUGGGCGUAAAGCGCACGCAGGCGGUCUGUCAAGUCGGAUGUGAAAUCCCCGGGCUCAACCUGGGAACUGCAUUCGAAACUGGCAGGCUUGAGUCUUGUAGAGGGGGGUAGAAUUCCAGGUGUAGCGGUGAAAUGCGUAGAGAUCUGGAGGAAUACCGGUGGCGAAGGCGGCCCCCUGGACAAAGACUGACGCUCAGGUGCGAAAGCGUGGGGAGCAAACAGGAUUAGAUACCCUGGUAGUCCACGCCGUAAACGAUGUCUACUUGGAGGUUGUGCCCUUGAGGCGUGGCUUCCGGAGCUAACGCGUUAAGUAGACCGCCUGGGGAGUACGGCCGCAAGGUUAAAACUCAAAUGAAUUGACGGGGGCCCGCACAAGCGGUGGAGCAUGUGGUUUAAUUCGAUGCAACGCGAAGAACCUUACCUGGUCUUGACAUCCACAGAACUUUCCAGAGAUGGACUGGUGCCUUCGGGAAC